UUGCACGCUGGCGGCAGGCCUAACACCUGCAAGUCGCACGGUAACAGGAAGCAGCUUGCUGCUUCGCUGACGAGUGGCGGACGGGUGAGUAAUGUCUGGGAAGCUGCCUGAUGGAGGGGGAUAACUACUGGAAACGGUAGCUAAUACCGCAUAAUGUCGCAAGACCAAAGAGGGGGACCUUCGGGCCUCUUGCCAUCGGAUGUGCCCAGAUGGGAUUAGCUUGUUGGUGGGGUAACGGCUCACCAAGGCGACGAUCCCUAGCUGGUCUGAGAGGAUGACCAGCCACACUGGGACUGAGACACGGUCCAGACUCCUACGGGAGGCAGCAGUGGGGAAUAUUGCACAAUGGGCGCAAGCCUGAUGCAGCCAUGCCGCGUGUAUGAAGAAGGCCUUCGGGUUGUAAAGUACUUUCAGCGGGGAGGAAGGGAGUAAAGUUAAUACCUUUGCUCAUUGACGCUACCCGCAGAAGAAGCACCGGCUAACUCCGUG
rnacentral:rRNA from 1 species